GCUGCUCUUUGCUAGAAAGGGAAUUCUGCUGAGGACUCUUUGCCCUAUCUGCCUAGCUGGUUUCUUCCUUUCUGCUCUCUCAGUAUGAAGAUACUGACAUCAUGAACAUUUGGGAGAGAGAGAACUGCAAAAAUUCCACUCCUGAGCUAACCUGAAUGCUUUUGAGGAAAUGCUAAAUAUUCCAUCUUCUCUGUAGUAACAAUGAGUACAUAAAUUUAGAAAAAAAAAUACUUUUUUUGCUACAAUGUAUUUAUGUGGCAUUUGAUAUAUUCAGCUACACAUUUAAAAAUACACAUCAAUCAUCCUGCUAAGCAACCUAUUUAAAGUGUUAGUUUGUAAUACCAAGUAAUGCCUGUUGGUGGCUAAAUGUACCUGAUGAUGUUUUGUGCCACAUGAUCCCAUUUUGCUGGAGUGAGGAUGUCUUAUAUGAAGGCAGACCCUUUAUAAUACACCAAGUUACUUGUAAAUAGAAAUUGGUAAACUUGAAGCAAUAGGUAGAAAUUGAAAUUAAAAGUCAUGAAAACAAGUCAAGAAAAAGUAAGGAUAUAAAGAAAAUGUAUAAGGUAGAGUUGUGAGAAAUAAAUGGUGAA